rnacentral:rRNA from 1 species
AGCGAACGCUGGCGGCAGGCUUAACACAUGCAAGUCGAACGCCCCGCAAGGGGAGUGGCAGACGGGUGAGUAACACGUGGGAACGUACCCUUUGGUUCGGAAUAACUUGGGGAAACUCAAGCUAAUACCGGAUAAGCCCUUAUGGGGAAAGGUUUACUGCCGAAGGAUCGGCCCGCGUCUGAUUAGCUAGUUGGUGAGGUAAUGGCUCACCAAGGCGACGAUCAGUAGCUGGUCUGAGAGGAUGAUCAGCCACACUGGGACUGAGACACGGCCCAGACUCCUACGGGAGGCAGCAGUGGGGAAUAUUGGACAAUGGGGGCAACCCUGAUCCAGCCAUGCCGCGUGAGUGAUGAAGGCCUUAGGGUUGUAUAGCUCUUUUACCCGGGACGAUAAUGACUGUACCGGGAGAAUAAGCCCCGGCUAACUUCGUGCCAGCCGCCGCGGUAAAAC